rnacentral:rRNA from 1 species
UACGGAGGGUGCGAGCGUUGUCCGGAAUCACUGGGCGUAAGGGGCGCGUAGGCGGCCUGAUAAGUAGGGGGUGAAAUCCUGCGGCUUAACCGCAGGGCUGCCUUCUAAACUGUCAGGCUAGAGCACAGUAGAGGCAGGUGGAAUUCCCGGUGUAGCGGUGGAAUGCGUAGAGAUCGGGAAGAACAUCAGUGGCGAAGGCGGCCUGCUGGGCUGUCGCUGACGCUGAGGCGCGACAGCGUGGGGAGCAAACAGG